rnacentral:misc_RNA from 1 species
AAAAAGGUUCAAAUGUGUUUGCUACAAUGUUAUGGACAUGUGGUUUGUUAUGCAACUAUUUAGAUGGCUUUGAAAUCUGAGGUUGCAGUGGCAGAAGGAUAUUAAUGUGGGAAUUGUGAUGGUUACUUCGAAUGUUAGCUGGCCCUUUCCUAGAUAGAAUGUGAGAUGCCGCUGAUAAGGGUGUAUCAGGAUCUGUUUUGGUCUAAAAUUGUCUUGGACUGUGAAUUGUUCUUGGAAUGAAAACUACUUUUGAG